rnacentral:rRNA from 1 species
AUGAACGCUUGCGGCACGCCUAAAACAUGCAAGUCGAACGAACCGUUCUUCGGAUCGGUUAGUGGCAAACGGGUGAGUAACACGUGAGUGACCUGCCCCGAAGUGGGGGAUAACCACUCGAAAGGGUGGCUAAUACCGCAUACGCUUGGCGAUUCGGUUCGUCAAGCAAAGCCGAAAGGCGCUUUGGGAGGGGCUUGCGGCCGAUUAGCUAGUUGGUGGGGUAACGGCUCACCAAGGCUCUGAUCGGUAGCUGGUCUGAGAGGAUGAUCAGCCACACUGGCACUGAGACACGGGCCAGACUCCUACGGGAGGCAGCAGUUAGGAAUAUUGCGCAAUGGGCGAAAGCCUGACGCAGCGAUGCCGCGUGGGUGAUGAAGGCCUUCGGGUCGUAAAGCCCUUUUCUGGGGGAAGAGCAAGGACGGUACCCCAGGAAUAAGUCUCGGCUAACUACGU